rnacentral:rRNA from 1 species
AUACGUAGGUGACAAGCGUUAUCCGGAUUUACUGGGCGUAAAGGGCGUGUAGGCGGUCUUGCAAGUCAGAAGUGAAAUUCCUGAGCUCAACUCGGGCGCUGCUUCUGAAACUGCAGGACUUGAGUGCUGGAGGGGAUAGCGGAAUUCCUAGUGGAGCGGUAAAAUGCGCAGAUAUUAGGAAGAACACCGGUGGCGAAGGCGGCUAUCUGGACAGUAACUGACGCUGAGGCGCGAAAGCGUGGGGAGCAAACAGGAUUAGAUACCCUGGUAGUCCACACUGUAAACGAUGAAUGCUAGGUGUAAGAGGUAUCGACCCCUUUUGUGCCGGAGUUAACACAAUAAGCAUUCCGCCUGGGGAGUACGGCCGCAAGGUUGAAACUUAAAGGAAUUGACGGGG